rnacentral:piRNA from 1 species
UGGGACAUGUUUCCUGACAGCUCGGGUUGCU